UAGGGAAUCUUCCGCAAUGGGCGAAAGCCUGACGGAGCGACGCCGCGUGAGCGAAGAAGGCCUUCGGGUCGUAAAGCUCUGUUGUGAGGGACGAAGGAGCGCCGUUUGAAGAAGGCGGCGCGGUGACGGUACCUCACGAGAAAGCCCCGGCUAACUACGUGCCAGCAGCCGCGGUAAUACGUAGGGGGCGAGCGUUGUCCGGAAUUAUUGGGCGUAAAGCGCGCGCAGGCGGUCUCUUAAGUCUGAUGUGAAAGCCCACGGCUCAACCGUGGAGGGUCAUUGGAAACUGGGGGACUUGAGGGCAGGAGAGGAGAGCGGAAUUCCACGUGUAGCGGUGAAAUGCGUAGAGAUGUGGAGGAACACCAGUGGCGAAGGCGGCUCUCUGGCCUGCACCUGACGCUGAGGCGCGAAAGCGUGGGGAGCAAACA
rnacentral:rRNA from 1 species